rnacentral:rRNA from 1 species
AGCCAUGCAUGUGUAGUAUAAGCGAUUCGUACUGUGAGACUGCGAACGGCUCAUUAUAUAGAGAUAAUUUCUUCGGUAGUUUCUUUUAUAUGGAUACCUGCAGUAAUUCUGGAAAUAAUACAUGCUGUAAGAGCCCUGUAUGGGGCUGCACUUAUUAGAUUGAAGCCGAUUUUAUUGGUGAAUCAUGAUAAUUGAGCAGAUUGACUUUUUUGGUCGAUGAAUCGUUUGAGUUUCUGCCCCAUCAGUUGUCGACGGUAGUGUAUUGGACUACGGGGACUAUAACGGGUGACGGAAAGUUAGGGCUCGACUCCGGAGAGGGAGCCUGAGAGACGGCUACCAUAUCCAAGGAUAGCAGCAGGCGCGUAAAUUACCCACUGGGGACUCCACGAGGUAGUGACGAGAAAUAUCGAUGCGAAGCGUGUAUGCGUUUUGCUAUCGGAAUGAGAGCAAUGUAAAACCCUCAUCGAGGAUCAACUGGAGGGCAAGUCUGGGGCCAGCAGCCGCGGUAAUUCCAGCUCCAGAAGCAUAUGCUAAAGUUGUUGCAGUUAAAAAGCUCGUAGUUGAAUUUCUGGCAUGGGCGACCGGUGCUUUCCCUGAAUGGGGAUUGAUUGUCUGGGUUGCCUUGGCCAUCUUUUUCAUGCCGUUUUGGGGGAGAAAUCUUUCACUGUAAUCAAAGCAAAGGGUUCCAAGCAGGUCGUAUGACCGGAAUGUUUAUUAUGGGAUGAUAAGAUAGGACUUGGGGGCUAUUUUGUUGGUUUGCACCCCUGAGUAAGGGUUAAUAGGAACAGUUGGGGGUAUUCGUAUUUAGGAGCUAGAGGUGAAAUUCUUGGAUUUCCGAAAGACGAACUAGAGCGAAGGCUUUUACCAAGCAUGUUUUCAUUAAUCAAAAAACAAAAGUCUGGGGAUCGAAAGAUGAUUUAGAUCCCAUCGUAGUCUAAAACCGUAAACGAUGCCGACUUGCCAAUUGUUGGGGGCUUUUUUUU